AACCGCCUUUGGCUAACUGUAGUAAUUCUAGAGCUAAUACAUGCACGAACAUGCGCCGAUCCUUCCCUGGAGAGGCGUGCUUUUAUUAGACAGGACCUUUGCUCGGGAGUAACUCCCCGUCGGCAACCCGUGUUGACUCUGGAUAACUUAGCGGAUCGCACUGGGGCUUCGACCCCGGCGACACACCAUUCAAGUGUCUGACCCAUCAGCUGGUCGGCCGGAGCUGUGCCGGCCGAGGACGUAACGGGUAACAGAGAAUUAGGGUUCGAUUCUGGAGAGGGAGCCUGAGAAACGGCUACCACUUCCAAGGAAGGCAGCAGGCGCGCAAAUUACCCACUCCCGACACGGGGAGGUAGUGACGAGAAAUAGCGGUAGGCGACUCAAUGAGGCUGCCUUACUGGAAUGAGUAGAGUUCAAAGCCUUCCACGAGGACCUAGUCGAGGGCAAGUCUGGUGCCAGCAGCCGCGGUAACUCCAGCUCGACUAGCAUAUACGAAAGUUGUUGCAGUUAAAACGCUCGUAGUUGGUCUUCAACUUGGGCAGUGUUUACGGGACGGGCCCGUGGUCAUGUCGCCGGGGCUGUCGGGUUUACGGCGGGAUUUUGUCGCGGCGGGCUUCCCCCUAUCGUUGGGUUUGGUGCGCCCGCCCUCUCGUCCAGUUUACUUUGAAAAAAUUAGGGUGUUCAAGGCAGGACAAUACAGCCUGCAUAAUGAUGCAUGGAAUAAUGGAAAAGACUCUGGUUCUUUUUUGCUGGUCUCGAGAUUCUUAGAGUCAUGAUUAAAAGGGACGGACGAGGGCGAAAGUACUCCGGCGUGAGAGGUGAAAUUCUUGGACCGCUAGAAGACUCACUCCUGCGAAAGCAUUCGCCUAGAACGUUUUCGUUAAUCAAGAACGAAAGUUUGGGUAGCGAAGACGAUCAGAUACCGUCUUAGUCCGGACCUUAAACUAUGCCGACAGGCGAUCGGCCGUAAGCAACUCGCUAAACCCUUUUCUUGGCACGGCCGGCAGCCCUCGGGAAACUAAAGUAUUUGGGUUCCGGGGGAAGUAUGGUUGCAAAGCUGAAACUUAAAGGAAUUGACGGAAGGGCACCACCAGGAGUGGAGCUUGCGGCUUAAUUUGACUCAACACGGGGCAACUCACCCGGGCCCGACACCGUUAGGAUUGACAGAUUGAGAGCUCUUUCUUGAUUCGGUGGGUGGUGGUGCAUGGCCGUUCUUAGUUCGUGGAGCGAUCUGUCAGGUUAAUUCCGCUAACGGACGAGACUCUAGCCUAUUAACUAGAUGUGGCGGUGAUAAUGAGCCGUCAAGCAAAUGGCAAACUUCUUAGGGGGACGGGCGGUGUGGUAACCGCAGGAGGAAGAGCAAUAACAGGUCUGUGAUGCCCUUAGAUGUUCGGGGCCGCACGCGCGCUACACUGAAAGAGACACCGAGGUUGCUCGCAAGGAACCGGGUCCGCCAGGGCCCUAGGAAAACACUUAGCCUCUCUCGUGCUAGGGAUUAGGGUUUGAAACUGUCGCCUAUGAACGAGGAAUUCCGAGUAAGCGCGAGUCACCAGCUUGCGUUGAUCAAGUCCCUGCCCUUUGUACACACCGCCCGUCGCUACCACCGAGCUAGUGGCUUAGUAAGGCUGUUGGAUGCGUCCUGGGGGCUCAGGCGUGGGCGGGGCUGGGCUAGUCUUCCCUUCGCGGGGGAGGCGGGCUCUCCCCGUUUCACUUUGCCGGCUUCAACGUGGAGCGCCUAAGGCAGUCAAACUUGACCGCUUCGAGGAG
rnacentral:rRNA from 1 species